UGUGCUGACAGCAGAGAGUCCAAUAUGGGGCUCAGACUCAUGAGCCAUGAGAUCACGGCCCGAGAUGAAGUUGGACGUUUAACUGACUGAGCCACCCAGGUGCCCCCGGAUAUAUUAGUGUUAAAAGUGUUUGUGGUAAGCAAACAUUAUAUAUAAGCAAGAUAUAAGUGGGACUGUGUAAGCUCUUGUAACAAGUUACGAAAUCCAGUGCCUAUGGGAGCCAGCCAGAUGAACUGAAUGAAGAAAGAGAGCUGGGUGUGAGGCAAUAGGGAGUGAGGAGGACUGCGGUGAGGUGAAGAGCACACACUGUGUCUGAAGACAGCGGUUUCUUUUCAGCUCCAGCUGAUGUCUGUCACGUGGUACAAAGAGCCCAGUGUGGCCAGAGCUCCUGGAUUCACAAAAGAAACUGGAAACCCAGAUUCUUAUGAAAAAUUCCCUUACACAGGCAUUCCCUCGGAGAUACUGUGGGUUUAGUACCAGACUACUGCAAUAAAGCAGACGCCUGUGGCUCAACAUGGAGAAAAGCCUACUAUUGAGCCCACGAGCCCAGACGUGGUUACCUUUUUGCGUGGCCGAAGCUUGUCCCGCCAUUCCUUCAGGUUCUGAUUAUGGCUCUCAUCUAGGGCCUUCAGCUUCUGGGUUUCAUGUUCUACCAGGAGGUGACACUUUUCAUUCUGGAACAAAUUCCAGGCAGAACAGGAGAGAUUUGUGUAAAGAUGAGGACAUGGACCUGACAGAGACACUCCCAACUUUAUUAUUCUCUGAGGAACUAUGGCUUGGAAGAUGAUGGAUCUGGCCAGCAUGACACGGCAGGAUUGAACCAUUUUAGCCCGGGCUUGUCUGACGAGAGUCCUUCCCUACCGUAGAAACAGAGGCGAUGCGAGAAGGGGGGCGGGGAGGCCUGUACCUGCAGCUGCUGCAGCUCGCUCAUGUUGCUGUCACACUGUGCCACCAUGUCCCGCAUCUGGUUCUCAUGCUUUUGCUGCUGCUGUAGCCGCUCCGACUUCUGCCUUUUCUCCUCUUGCUGGGAGAACUGGAACAGAGGGAGGGUGGGUGCCUCAGAGGGUCACAGGCCUGGCUGGGGGCAGGGGGUGGGGUGGGGGAAGCCUCUACCCCCACCCCAUUCCAGAAAGCCCCGUCAGAGGGGCUGGUUUGUGCACAGCCCUAGUGCCCUACACCAUUCAGGCCAUGCUCUCUUCCUGAGCGGAGACCCAGGCUGGUGGGGACACAACGUUGUGCUGUGCCACGUGCUAAGACAACGUGCGUUACCACACAGGAAUCACGGGAGCCCAGGGCCACCAGCGCCAUGUCCCCAAGACGAAUGGGUGACACGCAAGUGGGGUCUUGGUGGAUGAGAAGAAGGGGUUUACCAGCAGAGGAAGCCACAGGAUCAAAGCACCACAGUGUGAAAGGGAACCGUGCAUGAGAAAGCAACACCAAGCUUCCCCCUCUGUCCACCGGAGGGACAUUCGCCGUGGAGCUUGUGAGGCUUCCAGGCUGUGACCGACACCCCCCUUCCAAGACCCCGUACUGCAGCUUGUAUUUCUAUUCCCCAAGCCACAUAAAGUUCAGGCCCCACCAAACCGGCAUCUGUCCCCACUGCAGUACACGCACAGAGCCCCCACCUGCUUGAUCUUCUCACGCUGCUCAGAGGCACUGCCCGCGCCAUUGAUGUGGAGGCUCUUCUUGUACAUGGCCAUGCGCGUCUUGCCCUCGCUCCUCUGAAUCUUGGGCAGCCGUGCUUUCUCCUGCUGCUGCCGCACCUUCAGCUGCUCCACCAUGCGCUGGUUGUAGCGUUGCAUCUGCUCCCGUUCCUGGGGGCACAGCCAGCCGGGGCUGAGGUCAGGUGUGCUCUGGGCCGGGGGUGUGAUCAGAGGCCAAAGGCGGCCACCCUCCGCUCGGGAGCCCAGGACACACGUGGCCCUGAAUGCUCAGCAGAGCGAGUCUGGCAUCAUUUUACCUCUACUGUUAAUUUUUUAAGUGAGAACAGAAAAUGUUACUCUUUGUUAGUAACGCUUUGGAUUUUUACCUUCUAAAUGUCUUCUCAUCUAAUCAAUGGUUGGCAUGUCAUUAAAGCUAAUACCUCAAAGCAAGACGUACACUAGUGAUGGCAGAUGUCAAUUCAUACUUUUAAAAGUCAUGAUAAAUUUGAGUUUUUCCUUCACCUAACACCUAUUUGUAUUUCAAAACUUGGCACGGGUAUCACCUCCUCCAGGGAGCCUCCCCUGACUUCCAAACCAGGUUGAGCACCCUUAUUCAGAGCCGCCACAGCCCAAAGCUGUUUGUCCAUCAUUGCAUUUAGAUUAGGAAUUGUAAUUAUCCACUAAUUGUGCAUCCAGAUCUCAGUUUGUCCCUGCUCCCACUAAGGGGACCAAAUCAAGACAAUUACAUAGAAGUAAGAGAGUGCUCUGGCCACACAAAGCAGGGGCCCUUGCCUGGUCUGAGGGAGAUAAGGAAGGCUUCCUGGCAGAGGUGGUGAUUAAGUUGAGACUUAAAAGUAUUCCGAGGGAAUGCAUGCAAAAGAGAGAGAUUAGGGGAAAAUGGAAAGGUCACGGAGAAGAGGAAAAAAGUAAAAGGCACACACUGAGGUGUCUAAGUCAGUGAGGGAGCUGCCAUCUGCUUCCCUGCAGGGCUUCCCCCAUUCCUGGCCCUUUCAUCAGAGGAAGAACAUCUCACAGAACCUCCCAGGGCCUUACCAUGACCAAUGCCUGCCUCCUCUUGGGAGCACAGAUGGUACCCAAGUAGUGCCCCACUUGGCCCUCCCAGAGCUUCCGGUGGCAGCCCCAUGCCCCGCCCAAGUCGGGACCUCACCUUCUCAUGCUUGCGCACCAGCUCAUGCCUCUGGAGGAAGUACUGGUCUUUGAGCUGCUGCUUCACCAGCUGGUGCCUCUCCUGUAGGUGAUGCUCCUCCAUUUCCCACAGGGCUGCCUCCCGGUCUGUGGACGACAUGAGGCCUGGUGAGAUGCUAAUGGCCAGAGCGCCACUGAGCACUGCCCUGCCCUCUCCUGCAUCAGAUGUUAGCUCCCAGGAGCCUGGUACACCAGGAAGCGAAUGGAGCCAAGAACCAGAGAAACCAGAGACCGAGGCUAGAACCCAGCUCCUUCACUGGGGUUUGGGACGGGUAACAAAUCCUCUCCAGGCCUCCACUUCCACCUCUACCAAACGUGUGCAACCAUUCCGUGGAGGCAGAAAUGGUCUUGGGAGACCAUUAUGUUCAGCUCACAGUGCACUGCUGCUUUCCUAAUGGGCCAGUGGGAAGGGCUCACGAAACCCCAUGAAGAAGACAGGAACAGCCUCCUGUCACUAUUUACUCCUUUGAAGAAUGGACGAGACCCUCCUUGGCCACUGUACAUCCCUUAUGUAUACAUUAUUAUUAAGACACAGCAUCUGGCAUUUUAUCACUGGAAGUCUAUCAAUUGACCUUCUGCUCAGCCACAGGCACGGAGCUGGCGUCAGAUGAAGACUUCAUGCCCUGUAAGACAUGGAGCGGGUGGUGCUCAACCCACAUGAAUGUUCAUUUCAUUUCACUGCGGUCCUGAUCUAUGAAAACUGGUAACUACCCACACAGUACAUCAGAACAGUGAUUUGGCUUCCUAUCAAAGUCGAAAGCGCUGUCCCACAAGUAGGGUGGUUCCUACUGGCAUCAUGGGACCCAAAAAGAAAAUGAGGGCUUUCCUGAAACCACGGUGGCUCUUCAGAACGUCAGAACAUCAAGGACCCCGUUUUGCUGCCCCACACCAAGUACUGAAGGGUUUACAAGGCUUGCCUGCACCGGCCAUCACAGCCCUGGCCGCAGCACCUGCUGUGUAAGUAAGCCAGAGAUGGCGCCUGUACAACCGGCCCUAUGUUGUUUACGUCUUUACCGCAGGCUGGACUGUUGACUCUCAGAAGCCCACGGGUGCCAAACUCUGAACUUCUCCCAUCCAACUGUUUCAAGUGUAGCUCAAACAGCAGACUUUUGGCCAUUCAGAGCCCACCUGCUUUGCACGCCCCACAAAACUGCACCCAACAUCCGCUAGGCAUAGAGAAGAUAAACCUAAGGGGCUAAAGAAAGACCCUAAGCCCUGCUGCCCUUCAGAACUCUACCCCAGAACCUCCCCUGCUAGUGACCCCAUCCAGAUACAGAAGCCCUCUCUCUGUACCCUAGAGUUCCUCUGCCCUCCUCCCUCCGGGAGUGGCCUGCACUAGUGUCUCUGGAAGGUCUUGGGCUCGAAGGACUUGCCAGCCCACAAACCCGUCAGAGCACGAGCACACCAGAGCAGUCAGGAACUCGGCUUCAAGAGGAGAUCCACGUUCAAGGCUCAUUCUACCACGCAUUAGCCGAGCAACCCCGGCCCAAGCACAGUGGCUCUUGCAAGCCUUUGUUUCCUCGUCUACAAAAACGACUUGUCGGGUUAAGGUGAAGAUUCAAGGAGAGAGAGCCAUGAAAACUGGCACACAGCCUGGCACAGCCGUCACUCCACAUGUGAUGGAUGUCAUAAGGGGCACGAUACUUUCCCCACCACCCCGUAGUUUCCACCCACUCUACGUGGCUUGCUGGCUUUCUUCCUUCCUCAACCUUAGGAAAGAGGUCAAAUAAUGUCGGCUCUGUGCCUCAGUCCUGACUGCAGUGGAGGCUUUCCCCAUGUGUCGCCCUGAAGGAUGCUAUUCGGUUUUAGGAUGGAGAAGAACCUAGCAGUUCCUAACACAGCCCACUCUCUGGCAGCCACCUCGAAGGAGUUCCUGCUUCCUGGUGAGACACUCGCGCUCCUUGUCACAGAUCUCCCGCCUGUUGUCCGCAGUGAUCUUCUUCAUCGCCAGUUCCAGGUCCUCCUUCUGCUUGGCCAGGAAGUCCCGGUCCUGGGCGGGAGAGAGGAGGACAGACCUUUAGCACCGGUUCCGGCACCUCAACGUCUACUUUUACUACAGAGGAGUCAUUGUGAUCGGCAAAGAAAACAUACACAGGGGAAACCUGAGACUUAGAGACACGUCCACCAACUGUGGCAUAUGCGCUUCAUGUGGACCCUGAUUCAAACAACAGAUUAAAAAAAAAACAUUCAUGAGACAAAUGGAAAUGUAACUAAUGACUCAACUGCAAAUGGGAUGUCAUGAAGCAGUUACCGAUAAAUAUUUAAAUUCUUAGGUGACUUUAUAGUAUUGUGGGUUCUUUUAGAGAUGCAUACUAAGACACUGACAGGUGAAAGGAUACGAUACGUGGGAUUUGAUUCGAAAUAACCCUGAAGGGUGGGGGAGUGAGUAGACAUGAGCUCCUAAUUACUGAGACCAGGUAACAGGUGACAGGUAUGUGGGGGUUCCUGAUAUACCUAUUUCUGCCUAUGUUUUUAAUUUUCCAUAGUCAGAUUUAAAAAAUUAAAAUUUAAAAAUUUUAGGGAACACGUAAGCAGAAACUAGAAAUCCCCACUAAUCCUAUCACCCGGGAGCAGCAGCUGGUUUUGGUGUACCUAUACAAACAUGUUUGCAUCUGUAUUUCACAAAUUAUUUAAAAGGACUUAGAGAUUUGUACACCCGUGUUCAUAACAGCAUUAUUCACAACAGCCAUGGGAUGGAAACACUCAAGUGCCUACAGACAGAGGAGUGGAUAAACAAAAUGUGGCAUAUAUGCACAAUGGAAUCUUACUCCUCCCUGAAAAUUCCCACAUAUGCCACAACAUGGAUGAAUCUCAAAGACAUGUCAAGUAAAUCAGACACAAAAGGACAAAUACCACAUGAUCCCACUUACAGGAAGUCAGAUUUGUGGAGACAGAGAGUAGAAUAGUGGUUGCCAGGGACUAGGGGAAGGGCAUGGGGUGUUAUUAUCUAAUGGGUAGAGUUUCAGUCUUGCAAGAUAAACUGUUCUGGACACGGACAGUGGUGAUGGUUUGCACAACAGUGUGAAUGUACCUAAUACUACUGAACUGUAUGCUUAAAAAUGGUUAAGGUGCUAAAUUCGUUAUGCCUUAUCUUACUAUAAUUUUUAAAAAUUAAAAAUACCUUUCCAUGUGAUAAUGUAAUCUUCUAUCAAGUGAGUUUUGAUGGCCGAAAACAUUUCAUGGCACAGGUAGGUAUACCCUAACCUUAUUCACCCAAUACCUAAUAAUUUUUUCCAAGUUA